GGGGCCACCCGGGGAUUGAACCCGGGACCUCUCGCAAUUUUUUUUGUCGACUACCAAAGCAAUCAACAAACUCAGGGUGGACCCUAAGCGAGAAUCAUACCACUAGACCAGCGGCCC